rnacentral:rRNA from 1 species
UAGGGAAUCUUCCGCAAUGGACGCAAGUCUGACGGAGCAACGCCGCGUGAGUGAAGAAGGAUUUCGGUUCGUAAAACUCUGUUGUUAGAGAAGAACAGCGCAUAGAGUAACUGUUAUGCGUGUGACGGUAUCUAACCAGAAAGCCACGGCUAACUACGUGCCAGCAGCCGCGGUAAUACGUAGGUCCCGAGCGUUGUCCGGAUUUAUUGGGCGUAAAGCGAGCGCAGGCGGUUAGAUAAGUCUGAAGUUAAAGGCAGUGGCUCAACCAUUGUAGGCUUUGGAAACUGUUUAACUUGAGUGCAGAAGGGGAGAGUGGAAUUCCAUGUGUAGCGGUGAAAUGCGUAGAUAUAUGGAGGAACACCAGUGGCGAAAGCGGCUCUCUGGUCUGUAACUGACGCUGAGGCUCGAAAGCGUGGGGAGCGAACAGG